rnacentral:lncRNA from 1 species
CAUACAGUACAUAAUCUAAAUGCAUAUGGGUAUAGUGUCACUCCAACUGACUUACCAAUUGAGUUGGAGAAAUACAUUCAACUGAAUUGCAUUAAGAUUAGCCAUGAUGUCAAGAGAAACAAUAAUGAGGAGACAACCGGCAAAUUAAGUGCGAAUAGUCACUGUUGCUCGGACGAGGACUGUUAGAAUUUGCAUUAAAGCUACAGUGAGGAGUUUUCAUCCAAAACUAGCAAACAUCUACCUAAAAAGGCAUGCAAAAAACACCACCAACAGCCCAGUUGCCACUGAUAAAAGUUCGCUAGCAUGCUAACUGGUGUCUUUUCGCAAUAUGUGGUGAUACCCUGGAUGGCUGGUGGGAGUGACACGUGUGUUUAUCUGUCCUUGUGAGAUACAUGUACAUAUUCACAGAGCACAGGUUCACAUGGAACAUAUUCACAACGCACAGGUUCACCAGUUCACUAAUCACAAGUUCACAAGGAACAUAUUCAAUACACAGGUUCACUAGGAACAUAUUCACAAUGCACAGGUUCACUAAUCACAAGGAACAUAUUCAAUACACAGGUUCACUAGGAACAUAUUCACAAUGCACAGGUUCACUAAUCACAAGUUCACAAGGAACAUAUUCAAUACACAGGUUCACUAGGAACAUAUUCACAACGCACAGGUUAGAAUCCACACAGCUAGAUACAAUUCCACUUAGCCUCACAGCAGGUAAGUGUUUUCAGUCUCGUAUAGCCUCUCAUGCCUGUUUCCAAAGUUCUCCCAUGGCCAUCUCAAGGAAAUCUCUCCUCAUGAACAUGAGGCACCCUUUAAAUAGGGAAGCCAGUUGGGUUUAAUUGGACCAAUUUGGUCUCCCGGGUCCAGCCACUAUGGUGGGGGAGCCCGGAUCCAACCAUUGUGGCAGGGGAGUCCACCCCACACCAGGGCCAAACUCCUCAUGAGUCACAGUGAGAAGGAGAGGGAAUUUCACCUUCUCACAGUCCUUUACAUGACCAUGUAUCAUCAAAAU